GCGGGCAGAGCCGCGCUGUCACCCGGCCGGCGGGGGCUCAGGCUGCUUCCCCGGCGGGGCUGGCAGCCGCAGAGGCCUGGGCGACUUCGGGUUAUAGGCUUUGGGCCGCACUUUCCCGGCCUCUGGGUCAGUUUGGGGGAUAGGGUGGCUGUUGAAGGCGGCGGCGGCGGAUUACGUGGCUGACCUGAGAGGCUCUGCUGGCACGUCACUUCCGACGGGCUGAGGUUUAGCAUUUUAAUGGUGAAGGAGUAGAACAGACCACAGAUGGCUCAGUGGGUAAAGGUGCUUCCUAUGCAAGCCUGUUGACCUGCAUUUGAUCUCCAACCCUGUAGAGUUGUCGUCUGACACGCAGACCAUGGCACACAUGAACACACUGAUAGCCCCCAGUCUUCUCACCGUUCCUCCUUGGUAACUUUCUCCACAUCACAGCAAUGACCACAGCUCCAAGGAGAACCAGGCCAGCAGAGAUGACCACAAUGGGGUUUGUGUGCUGAAGAGGUGGAGCUGGAAGUGAAAGGAAAGCGAGGCCUUGGCUCUACUCAGGGUCUCCAGAGGGUUCCCGUUUCCUUGACAGCCUGCCCCUCCUUACCCCAUCUCAGGGUCAGGGGCUCAGGCAGCCCCUCAUGGUGCACAUGGCAUGUGUAUCUCUGCUCCUCCCCAGAAGGCACCACCACAGCUGCCCACUUCUGGAAGGUUCCGUCCCCAGAAGGCCUGGUCUCCACAAGUUCCAUGUCCUGGGUCUGUUCCUUGCCAUCCCUCUGCCAGGUCAGGGUGAUGUCAGCAGGGUAGAAGCCCAGGGCCCAGCACCUCAGAGUGAUGUCACCUUCAGGUCUGGGAUGAUGGGUCACAUGUGUCUUGGGGGGAUCUGAGAAUUCAGAGGUUCAGAGACUAUUACCUUCACUGAAAUAGUGGGCUCAUGUGACCAUCCUGAGAAUGGACAGGACACGAGGUGGGAAAGGAGACAUAAAACUCAGGCUUCUAGGAUACCCUCUGCCUUGGAAAAUCCUAGAAUUAGUUCGAACCAGCCCAGGGUAAGAGGCCCCAAGUCUCUGAAAGAGACAUUGGGUUCUGACCUGGAGGGGAGGCUAGGCGACUUAGAAAAACGUGACCAAAUUUCCAAAGACACUGGAAUGGGGCAGAAAACAAAGUGAAUCUCCAAAUAAUGUCCAAGGCUGCUGGAGGGUUGGCGCAAACUGCUCAUUGGUCAGUUACUGCAGCAACUGAAUUCUCCCAUCCCGGAGAGCAAGACAGGGCUUCUUGAAUUGUCCAGAGAGAACCCAAGAAGAUUCACCCAGACUAGACCAGACUAGGGAGGGAGGUGUCCUCGCAGGAGACCCGAAGCAGGGAGGUCUACACAGGGACUCGGGUGUUUGCUGCCACUCAAUACCUGCACGUUGCAGCAACUCUUUCCCCUUCUCCAGAUGGCUGCGGAGCCACUCCAUGCAUGUAACUUUCAGGUAGGCCCUGUGGUGCUCUGCCUCAUUCGUUGCCUCAUAUUCGCGCUGGGUAAUCAGAGCUACCUUGUUUGCCGCAGUCCAAGAAUGGAGGUCCUCGUUCAGAGAGAUGUGGUCGGCUCCAUCAUACGCUGUCUUGUAGUACCCGCUGAGGAAGCGCCCAUCACUGCCCAUAUAGCAGCCACGCAUGGACUGGAUGGUGUGGUACCCUGGAAGGCAAAAGUAAUAAGCCCCAGAGGCCUGGCCCCGCCCGCUACUCUUAGACCCGCCCCAUGGAGGCCCACAAGCGGUUGAGAGUCUUCCGUGGAGACGGGUGAAUUUCUCUAGCUCUGGGAUCGAGGAGAUGCACCUGGCAAUAGCCCUGGGUUUAUGAGACGGGCCCACUAUUUGGGGGCUAUCCAAGCCACACAGGGCCAAGUGGCCCAUACAGGGGUCACUCACCUGCUUCGCUCUGGUUGUAGUACCGCAGCAGAGUCCUCAGAUUCUUACGGAAAAUCUGCGCGUUCGCCUUGGCGAUCCGAGUCUGCCGCUCCCAGUACUCUGGCCGCUUCUCCUCCAUCCACCGCGCCCGCGGCUCCUCUCUAGGGGCCGUCGCAUCGCUGUCAAACCACACAAAGCGCGUGUCGUCCACGAACCCGAAGGCGAUGAACCGCGGUUCCCUGUGUCCCGGCUGGGUCAUGGCAGUGCCGAAAUAACGCAGCGAGUGCGAGUGUGAGCCUGGGGGAAGCAAGAAGCUGACGGCGGCUCCAGCUUCCUGCCAGGAUCCGGAGCUUUUGUGCCGGCCGGGAGGGGAGCAGGGCGCGGGGCUCGGGACGCGGGGACGCGGCUUCCCCGGGGCUGCCCCUGCCCUCCCCGCAGAGUCGUUUCCCUCCCGACCCCGCACUCACCCGCGCGGGUCCGGGUCGGGGCCAGGGCGGCCGCCAGCAGCAGGAGUAGCGCGCACGGCGCCAUCACCCAGAGAUAGAGAUCUGGGGAGCAUUUGAGCUCUGCGCGUUUUUUGGAACCCAGAACCUCCUACUGGCGUCUGCAGAAACCGGACACCCAAUGGGAGUGGGAAAUACCCUCGCGUCAUAAGUGUCUAGGCAGAAGAAUCUGACUCAGUUUGGGAGACCAGGAAGUGAAACUCGUAGGAGGGGGCAUCUCCAGGGCUGGGCUUCUAGCCACCUGACAUCCUGACCAGGGAGGGACCUGGCCUUUUGUCCUUCCUCCCCCUCUUCCAUCCAGCCCGAAGAGCUUUCCUCAUGUUCUCUCCGACUUCAGGUCAAGAGUUGUCUUGGUCAGCUGUUCUCAGACUUCCUGGUCUCAGGAUCUCCAUGGGCUCUGAGGAUUUAACGAAUUUCCCCAAGGAAAACACGUUUUUGUGAGUUAUAUGUGUAAAUAAUAUUAGAAACUAAAGUCUUUUAAAACAUAUUCCAUUGACUUAGAAUACUAACAGAUCCAUUGUGUUGACAAAAUAAAACCUUACAAGAAAUACUCAUUUUCCAAAUGAACAGUCUGAAGUGUGGGUCUUUUUGCACUUCACACGUUUCCAAGUCUUUCUCUUCAUCUGUUUCAACAGAAGACUGGCUGAUUUUCAUAUACACUUAACCUGUCAUUCUUGUUGAAGAAUAUGAAACAGCUUGCCUUACCCAAAUAUGUAGGCGGAAUAUUUUAAUGCUGUUAUCAGAUAAUUGUGGAUACUCAUCUUUGAUACCACAGUAAAAUAAAAAUGUAUUAAUAGUUAUUUAGACAGGGUUCAUGAAUUCUACCUUGGACUUGAAGUGAAGAAGGAGUGUUGAUUCUGUUUCUGGAUGUGUGGCCAGCUUCAUGUGCAAAUCUGUAUAUUACCUUAAAUAAAGUGAUUGCCAAUAAUGUACACAUAUGUGCAUAUAAACCUCCUGUAAUGUUUACAGUUACUAUAAUUUUCACUCUGUAGUUUGAAGUAAGACACAGGUGAGAUUUCAAUCUAGAGUGGGUUUAGAGAGAAAGCAGCAUUUGAGAUUUACAUUAAACUAAGAGCUAUUUUCCAUACCUACUCUUAGGCUUUGUUCCAUGGAAGAGAAGUUACAUUCAUCUCCCAAUAUUACAUCUCACAAUUGUAUAUAUAUAAUAUAUCUGGAGACCUGCUCCAGUAGCAGAGUGUUCAGAGUGUUUUUCUGAUAUGCUCGAGACCCUGGAUUUGAACCAGAGCAUUAGGCUGCUGGGGGAAAAUUGCCAUCAUCAUUCCUGCUUGGCUAUGGGCUUGUGUGCUGUAGAACUAUUUACAACAUAUAAAAUGUGCACCACAAAGAUAGGAUAAUGGAGUAUUUUCUCUAGAUUUGCCAAAUACAAAUAGACUAGACACUGGGAAUGUAAUUCUUACCUGAUAAUUGUUCUUAUUGUAUAUAGUUUUACUAUGUUAGAGUCAAAACCUUCCCUUUUUAUUUAGACAAAAGGGGAGAAAUGUUGUGGGAUAUUUGAUCACAGCAUGAGACACCCAGAGACUGUACUAAUAAAGUUAACCUUGAAUCGGGGCAGAGUCAGCUACUAGUUAAGAAUUAGUCAUAAAGACUGUGGAGGAGCUAGGAUACAGCUAAAAAGGCACAGGAAGGAGUAGGGAGGGACGUGGAGAUUCAUGGGCUUCUUGUCAGCCCCUUUUUGGUCUGGAAAGUGUGGAGAGAAGGUCAGCAGGUUGCUCCUCCACCACUUCUUUGAUUUAUCAGGUUUUCACCCCAAUAUCUGACUCCCGAGUCUUUAUUGGUAAUAGAAAAACUAAG